ACCUGCGGAAGGAUCAUUAGUGAAUAUAGGACGUCCAACUUAACUUGGAGUCCGAACUCUCACUUUCUAACCCUGUGCACUUGUUUGGGAUAGUAACUCUCGCAAGAGAGCGAACUCCUAUUCACUUAUAAACACAAAGUCUAUGAAUGUAUUAAAUUUUAUAACAAAAUAAAACUUUCAACAACGGAUCUCUUGGCUCUCGCAUCGAUGAAGAACGCAGCGAAAUGCGAUAAGUAAUGUGAAUUGCAGAAUUCAGUGAAUCAUCGAAUCUUUGAACGCACCUUGCGCUCCAUGGUAUUCCGUGGAGCAUGCCUGUUUGAGUGUCAUGAAUACUUCAACCCUCCUCUUUCUUAAUGAUUGAAGAGGUGUUUGGUUUCUGAGCGCUGCUGGCCUUUACGGUCUAGCUCGUUCGUAAUGCAUUAGCAUCCGCAAUCGAACUUCGGAUUGACUUGGCGUAAUAGACUAUUCGCUGAGGAAUUCUAGUCUUCG
rnacentral:rRNA from 1 species